GGAGACGGAGGCGUGUUCCUGCUCCGCCCAGGCCCCGUUCGACUCUCCUGGCGGACGAAGUUCCCUCAAGCCAAGCCCGUCCUGACGGCGGAGAGCAGCCGAGCCCUCAUAGAAAGAAUUUAUUUUUAAUAACAAUCUGAAACUGAAGAAAAGACUGCAGUUGGUACUACCACAAUGCAAAGAAAAAGAGGGAAGAUUAAUCAUUCUUCUAACAACAAGAUAUUGAAGACAUACCUUCAAAUUACUAUCUGUGCUGAUGAUGUUACUUAAUUUAAAUAAUGAAAUGUCUACAACAAAGCAACCAAGAGAGCACCAAAGGACCUCUAAACUCACGUCAACACUGUGUUACAAAUAUUAUCUUUUAUUGUCAUGAUUCUUUGGGAAAGAAGUCAUGGCAUUCACCCAAAAGGGGUGAGUGAUGUCACAUGAGUAUUUGAGUCUUCAUAUAAAUUAUGCAAUUGAUAUCAACUCACAUGGGAUAUUAUUUGUGACUUUUAUCAAACACCUAUGAAGGGUAUUUUCAUCAAGGUUGGAAGAAAGAAUGGAUGUAUUCGUUUCCACAUUCACACACACACACACAAAUGUGGCCCAGAAUUAGAAUUAUUCACACUCAGGCAUGACCAGGCAUUGGUACAUAAACAUUUAGUAAUAUCACCAUUGCCAAAAUAAUGUUUGUAUAUUCUUCAUCAUCUAAAUGUAAUGUCUGAUUUUGAUUUACAGUAGUUUGUCAUGAAACAAUGAAAUGCUCUGGAUCUCCUUUCUGAAUAGUCAUCUUCUAUAACAAUGUCUUCCUUAAUUAAAAUAAAUUUGGUUUGUUUCA